rnacentral:lncRNA from 1 species
UCCCUGUCUGCAUCUGUAGGAGACAGAGUCACCAUCACUUGCCGGGCAAGUCAGAGCAUUAGCAGCUAUUUAAAUUGGUAUCAGCAGAAACCAGGGAAAGCCCCUAAGCUCCUGAUCUAUGCUGCAUCCAGUUUGCAAAGUGGGGUCCCAUCAAGGUUCAGUGGCAGUGGAUCUGGGACAGAUUUCACUCUCACCAUCAGCAGUCUGCAACCUGAAGAUUUUGCAACUUACUACUGUCAACAGAGUUACAGUACCCCUCCCACAG